UGAAUGUGAACUGUAACAUUUGCAAACUAGCCAUUAAUCAAUUAAUCUUUACGCAUGUUUUUUUUUUGUUGUAUUGAACAGAUUACAAACUCUCAAUCACACCAAAAAAUUGUGUUGCUUCUUCUAGGACUUUCCACUCUUGAUAUAUUCCAAAAUAAAUAUCAGUAUACAGAAAUAGAGCAAACCUAUAAGGACAGAAACUGAAUAGUAUAAUGUUGCAAUGAUAUAAUGUAUUAAAGAUAAACAAUACAUUUCAAAAUGGACAAGGAACUGUCGUGGAUCAAAUCAAG